rnacentral:rRNA from 1 species
GAUGAACGCUGGCGGCGUGCCUAAUACAUGCAAGUCGAGCGAACGGACGAGAAGCUUGCUUCUCUGAUGUUAGCGGCGGACGGGUGGGUAACACGUGGAUAACCUACCUACAAGACUGGGAUAACUUCGGGAAACCGGAGCUAAUACCGGAUAAUCUUUUGAACCGCAUGGUUCAACAGUGAAAGACGGUCUUGCUGUCACUUAUAGAUGUAUCCGCGCUGCAUUAGCUAGUUGGUAAGGUAACGGCUUACCAAGGCAACGAUGCAUAGCCGACCUGAGAGGGUGAUCGGCCACACGGGAACUGAGACACGGUACAGACUCCUACGGGAGGCAGCAGUAGGGAAUCUUCCGCAAUGAGCGAAAGCCUGACGGAGCAACGCCGCGUGAGUGAUGAAGGUCUUCGGAUCGUAAAACUCUGUUAUUAGGGAAGAACAUAUGUGUAAGUAACUGUGCACAUCUUGACGGUACCUAAUCAGAAAGGCACGGCUAACUACGUG